rnacentral:lncRNA from 1 species
CUACUUUGACUACAUAGUUGUAUUAGUUCAUAACUCUGUGUACCAAUGCUAUUUAUCAAUAAAGUUUACUUUUUAUUCCAAAUAGAAGAUGACAUUGGAACAACAAACACAAACAUCUAACAUUACAACAACAAUUACUAAAACAAAAACAAAUACUGGAACAAGAACAAGUACUAAAACAACAACAAGUACUACAACAAUAGCAAAUACACAAACAACAUCACAAACAACCCUAAAAAUCUAGGAAAUUACAACAGUUAACACUAUGUCGUCUGAUCCAUGCAUCAUUUGGAUGCAAUCAAUGUCGCUUUCAACUUCAACCCACGAACAUACCGUUUCUCCAGUUUCA